rnacentral:lncRNA from 1 species
CAGACAUCUGUUAGUUUUUGUCUGUGUGUCUUGGGUUUCUGUUUUGUCUUAUUGUGAUUUUGACGAUGGGACCGACAGUAACCACCCCCCUCAAUCUGACUUUUGACCACUGGAGGGAUGUUAAGGACCAUAGUCAGUCAAUUAAAGUUACAACACCCCCUUUCGUUGAGUCACGUGGCACCACACUAGUUUAUAAGAUCAGACAGACUGCCAGAUCCUGACAGUGAACCAAAGUCUCCAAAGAAGAUUAUGAGGCACCCCAGUUCCUGCACCUGGAUAAUGAUGACGCCAACCAGUGAGCAAGAUGCUCAAAUGUGACACCUACUGCCUGCCAGGACCUGGCCAAGAAUGUGGACAAAGCUGCUGGACACUGGAAAAUUAAUUGCACCCCCUUUGCCUAGACAAAACAAGGCUGUUCCUAAAGAACUUCGAGCCCUGGACUUGCUGUGGAUGUGAACCAGUCCAGCUGAUGUGGACACCUCCGUCUCUGCAACAGAGUCUGCCAACCAGAAGCUCCUGAUGGAUUCCCCAUUACCUAAAUUCCCUUUUUGCUUUUGACUAGCAUUUCAGCCUUCUUGGGUCCCUAACUUCGUCCCAAAGUCAGCAGAAGUAGCAUGGGAAUGAAUACAUCGCCUGUUUUCCAUGGUUGAUAUGCUAAGUCAGAAGGAACUCCCUUACAUAGGGGAUGCCAAUAUCUCUCACUCCCUGAUGGGGACGCUGGAGAGACAGCAAUUCCAUGAUUGCAAUCUCCAAAAAGAAAAUGGGGGAAGGAAGGGACCAGCUCCCCAUUUCAGCAGCCAUAACAGCCUAGAACGUGCUUGCCUGACCUUGCCUUGGUCCCUAGAAGGUCAGAUGCCUGCCUCGUGGCAAGGAAUCAAUCAGAAGUUAGCUGGUGGCGCUAUGCUUUACGGCUUUGGGUGUGCUUUACAGACAAGUGCACAGCAAUGACUUGCAGACCAUAGCAACCAUCCUGGGAGGGUCUAUGGGCCAUAACAACCAGUUGAUCAAUCAACACAGGGCAAGCCCUCCAAGCCUGGAGGCACACCAAUAGUGAGCCUGUGCGUACCCCUAGACACUCCCCUUACGCUGCCCUAUAAGAUCUCUAUGCUGUGGCUUCACAGCAUCUUUCCCAGCUGUCUGCCAUGGUGGAUAGAUGAAAGGCCCAAGCUAACAUGGGGUUAGCUUGUUA